UUUUGGGGGGUUUUGUGUGUUGUUUUUAACCCCAAAAGUUUUGUAAUGAGUCUGGUUUUCUGCAGGGUCCAGACGUGUUCAUUUUGACGAGGCUGGUGUAAUUUGGUCAGUCUGUUUGUUUGUUUGUUUGUUUACAGCAUGGUUGUGGAGUUGCUGAGCCUCAGUGUGGCCCCGCUGGUCGUUGUCGCGCUUUUGGUGGCGGUGCUGUGGAUCUGUAGCGGCGUCCGGAGGAGCGCUCAGGAAAAUAGAAAACAGAAGGGCUCUUGUUCAGCUGGUUUGGUUGAAGAAUUGAUGUACGAUUUUAUGUUGUCACCGGAG